CAGUAAACUGGGAAGCUUGUUGAGUUA
rnacentral:piRNA from 1 species